UGGCUCAUUUGGUAGAGCAUGGUGUUUGCAACGCCAGGGUUGUGGGUUCGAAUCCCAC
rnacentral:tRNA from 1 species